UAAUAGCACCAGGAGUCCCUGAACUUGUCAUGGAUGUGAUGUUUUGGUCCCAAACUUGCAAAAUGCAACUAUUGAGUCACACAACUUGCAGCCAAUGUGCAAGUUUGGUCCCAGCCAAUCAGAGCUCGACAAGUGGAUCCUAGUCAGCACAGCCGUCAGCCCCAGCGCCUUUUGCAUUUACCCCCCUGGACUUUGCACUAAUCAACCCGCAUUACAGCUGCCUGGGAUAUUCUGCUGCCCCAGCGCCUUUCUCUGCUCUCGACCAUCUCCUGCUCCCCAGGUAGUCGCCACCGUCCAGCUAGUCGCCGCCGUCCAGCUCGCCACCGCCGUCCGUCUAGCUCGCCGCCAUGGUGUCUUGGAGUGAAGGAUCCAGCUCUUCGUCCGAAGGGUACUCUAUCACAAGCCCCUGCUCCUGCCGUCAUUUUCUGCUCUGAGUGGAGAGGCCUGGCUCCAGAUCUUGCAGCUAGAUGUGAACAUCAGUGUGUCUGUGAGAAGUUAGUUUCCUUUGAAUCAGUUGACAGUGGAAGGAGGUAUCUUGCUUGUGCACAAAAGGAAAUACCUAAAUGCAACUUUGUG